AAUAGUUUGCCGUGUGUGUUUUAGUGUAAACAUUUUUAGAUAGGUUUUGUGUGGUGUGAUUUUUAUGUUGUAAAUAGUUUGCUGUGUGUUUUAGUGUGAACAUUUUUAGAUAGGUUUUGUGUGGUGUUAUUAUUAUGUUGUAAAUAGUUUGUGUGAAAAAAAUAUAAAAAUGACAAAAAUGUUAGAUACAUUUAGAGAGAGAGAAAGGUUCUUCAUGUUUUGCUGCAGCAAAUGCUGCAGUUUUCCAGCAACAUUUUCACUGCACUUCUCUGUGGCCUUUGUGUGUCAGCCAAAGUUCUCAGUGCAGUUUAACAGACCGACUGGUCAGGUAGGGUCAGCAGAUCUCUGUCAGGUAAGUUUUUAUAUUGAUAGUAUUAAAUUAUUGAAGCACAGUGCAUUUAUUUGUCUGUUUUUCUUCCAGUGAGAUGGAACUUUGCAGUGCAGAGUGUGGAGAGGAGGAGUGGAGGAGGACGAGGCUUCUAUCCGUAUUGUCAUACAAAAUACAGGCACAAAAAUGGGAGACAUGUCAAAGCAAAGAAGUCAAUGUGAAAAGAAACCAAGGGAUUCAGUGGGACAUAAGUACUCGCAUAGCUCAUGUUCCCAGAGUCUGCCUGGGUCCAGGCUGGGUCAGGAGGACUGCUGAGGUCUUGAGGCAGGACCAUCCAGUUCAAGAGACAAAGCACCAUGCUUUCAACACCAGCCAGAUGUGAUCCUGCAGAAAAAGAGGAGGAAGGGAAAAAUGUCAGAGUGACAAAAACAAUAUACAGUACAGUGAGAUGGAAUUUUACAGUGCAGACUGGAGAGGAGGAGUGGAGGACGAGGCUUAUAUUGUCAUACAAAAUACAGGGACAGAAAUGGGGAGCACGUCAAACUGUAGGCAACUUGUACAGAACCAUGUGCAAAGAUGCACUGAGACACUUGAGACAUGCACUAAGACAUUUGCAAUUUGAUGAAAUCAAUGAAAAAUGACAUUCUGAGAUUUGCCCUACUUGCUCUUUGCAGCAAGUAAUCAGUUUUUUUUUUUUUUUUUUUUUUUUUUUGAGCUUCCAACACCAGCCAGAUGUGAUCCUGCAGCAAGAGAGGAGGAAGGGAAAAACAGUGACACUGACACAAGCAACUAAAAUACAGUACAGGUAAG